UGAACAGAAAGUAGAAUUAAUUCCAUUGGCAUGAUAGGAUGUUCUAACACAUUGGGUCAAAGCAAGGGGACUCUGCAUUGCUCUGUGUUGCCUCGCAGUGUUUGAAUUAACAUUGGAUGUAAAAAAAGUAGAAAAAAAUUGAAACGGCAGCUAUGCAAUUUCUCUUACAGAAGCGAUAUCACGUUACAUGUAUUGUAUAAAUAGGAAGCCUGAUUUCCGCUGGCAGAUAGAAAAUGCAGCCAAAGCCAAGUGACCAUCCUUGGUCUCUGCCUAAAUCCUGUUUGACAUCUCUUCAGCAGUGACCGCUAUCCAGAGCCAGACCUCCACACUGGAUGUUCUUUCAGUGGGUGUUUGACAGAAAGCCAGCAACAUUUGGGAAACUCAUCCAAGCACUGCACAUAAAACCCUUUCUUCCCGCAUCCCAGAAACCCUUCAAAGUAGAAAAUGGAAAUAAGUUAUGAGUGUUUUCCAGUAUUUUUUACUGAAUUACUGCACAGAUGUAUAAAUCGAGGACACUGUCAAAAGUACAAAUAUAAUCCGUUAAGAUUUAGCUUCAAAUUGUCAGUGGAUUAAAUCAGAUUUUUUUUUUUAAACUCCAGGACUGCAGGGCUCCUCAUCUUCAAAACAAUAUCAGAGCUGAAAAGAAAACUGUUACAUUGCAAUCCUCUUGGGCAGGUCUCUCCGAUAAUUUCACCUUUUUCCAAAGAUCAACAAGUUUGUAGAUAUUCCAGUCUUUCACGUGAUUCCUCACCAUAU